rnacentral:sRNA from 1 species
AUUGGCUGGGCAGGCUGCCACUCCCAGGGCAGCAGGGUAAGUGGUGCUUAUCACGUGCCCGGAAUCACCUGACUAGCAGCGGCUGAAGUGGGGGCGGCGCGGGGGGGAGGAGUCACGAGGAGAUGGCAGGGCCGCGCCUCUCGUCGGUCUCCGGGCUUUCGCCCUGGGGGCAGCCCGCACGCACCUCUGCCUUCCCUGCGCGUGCUGGGCUGCUCCCCGCCUCCUUCCGGGCUCCGAGUGUACCGCAGGGAAGAUGCUUCUAGGCGUCUGGGGCUUCUUCUCUGGUGCUGAGGCCACUCACUGACAUCAAGCCACGAGCGGAGGAGGAAUGUGUAAUGGAUGCAGGAGGUGUGCAAGUCCACACCUCUGCAUGCAAGAACAGGACAAAAAGCUGCAUGAAGAAACAGAGAAGGUGGAGAAACAGGAUCCCAAACAGAGCCCAGAACUGUUUGUUCUGUUACCUCAGAACACUGACCUGCAAGCACGCCUGCCAGGUACACCAGCCCCACUCGGAGGCCUUUGUGGACCAUCUCCAAGGGAAUACCCAGGACGAGCUGCAUAAAAAGAUUCCCCACGAUGUGCUGGACUCUGCAGAGACAAACACGGGAAACCAUGACCAGUGAAGCUGACUUAAGGAACGAAGUCAGGUGUGGUGGUGCACAACCUUAAUCCCAUUUCCUGGAAGCAGAGGCAGGGUCUCUCUGGAACCUGAAGCAAGUGUCGUUCAGCUAGACUGUUAGCUGGCGAGCACAGCGAUUCCUCCUGUGUCCAGCACUGAAACUGCAGCCGCAUGAGCCACGCCCAGGGGGCGGGUCCUCUUCGCACCGCCCCCCAAUCCCGUCUGCCCGCGUGCCUUCUCUCCACCUCUACUGCUUCUCUAUACAGUACAUACCUCUUUAUGCUGCUCUUCAACUGAUACACAGCAAGUCCCUUACAUCAGUCAAAACGCUCACAAGUUAAUUUUUUACAGAGUGUGUUUGCAGGAGGCAGUCUGGUGAUUCAGUUUGACUCCUUCAUCACCUAAAUGGAGCACUGGACAACAUCCAGUUCACACUCUCCAUCUCCAUCUCGUGAGCAGCAGCCAUCGUCCUGGUCCUCCCUCCGCCUGAAACAGACAUGAAUGUGAAUGGGGGUGGAGGAGGGUGGAGGACCCACAUCGUGAAAGCAGAGAACUGACUCUUGAGAGGCGUCUUCUAACUUCUACCCAACACACAGAGAAUAAAAUGUUUUAAAUGCAAUUUACAAUAGAUAACUAAGCCGAGUGUGUUGGUGAGCACCAGAAACUCCAUCCGUUGAGAGGCAGAGGCAAGAGGCCAAGGACACCACAGCAGUAUCGUGAGGUCCAAGCCAGCCUGGGCUGCAAGAGACCUCAUCUCCACAAGUAAGUAACAGAGAGAUGAAUAAUUGAAUCCAUUCUUUGAAAUAAAAAAAUGCAUAUUCAC